GACAGAGGGUGCAAACGUUGUUCGGAAUUACUGGGCGUAAAGCGCGUGUAGGCUGUCUUGCAAGUCGGGUGUGAAAGCCCGGGGCUCAACCCCGGAAGUGCACUCGAAACUGCAGGACUAGAGUCCCCGGAGAGGGAGGCGGAAUUCUGGGUGUAGAGGUGAAAUUCGUAGAUAUCCAGAGGAACACCGGUGGCGAAGGCGGCCUCCUGGACGGUGACUGACGCUGAGACGCGAAAGCGUGGGGGCGAACAGGAUU
rnacentral:rRNA from 1 species